GGAAUAUUGGACAAUGGGGGCAACCCUGAUCCAGCCAUGCCGCGUGUGUGAAGAAGGCUUUCGGGUUGUAAAGCACUUUCAGUGAGGAGGAAAAGUUAAUCCUUAAUACGGGCUAGCCCUGACGUUACUCACAGAAGAAGCACCGGCUAACUCCGUUCCAGCAGCCGCGGUAAUACGGAGGGUGCAAGCGUUAAUCGGAAUUACUGGGCGUAAAGCGCGUGUAGGUGGUUUGAUAAGCGAGAUGUGAAAGCCCCGGGCUUAACCUGAGAACGGCAUUUCGAACUGUCAGGCUAGAGUGUGGUAGAGGGUAGUGGAAUUUCCUGUGUAGCGGUGAAAUGCGUAGAUAUAGGAAGGAACACCAGUGGCGAAGGCGACUACCUGGACCAACACUGACACUGAGGUGCGAAAGCGUGGGGAGCA
rnacentral:rRNA from 1 species